CAAAGUGUAGCUUAAUUUAAAGCAUUUAGUUUACACCUAAAAGAUUUCACACGAAAAGAACACUUUGA
rnacentral:tRNA from 1 species